rnacentral:rRNA from 1 species
CCUGGUGAUUAUGGUGGAGGUGCCAUACCCGAUCCCUUUCCGAACUCGGAAGUCAAGCCCUCUAACGUCAAUGGUACUGCGCCUCUAAGACGCGGGAGAGUAGAUAGUUGCCAGGC